ACGAACGCUGGCGGCGUGCUUAACACAUGCCAGUCGCACGGAAAGGCCCUGCUUUUGUGGGGUGCUCGAGUGGCGAACGGGUGAGUAACACGUGAGUAACCUGCCCUUGACUUUGGGAUAACUUCAGGAAACUGGGGCUAAUACCGGAUAGGAGCUCCUGCUGCAUGGUGGGGGUUGGAAAGUUUCGGCGGUUGGGGAUGGACUCGCGGCUUAUCAGCUUGUUGGUGGGGUAGUGGCUUACCAAGGCUUUGACGGGUAGCCGGCCUGAGAGGGUGACCGGCCACAUUGGGACUGAGAUACGGCCCAGACUCCUACGGGAGGCAGCAGUGGGGAAUAUUGCACAAUGGGCGGAAGCCUGAUGCAGCAACGCCGCGUGCGGGAUGACGGCCUUCGGGUUGUAAACCGCUUUCGCCUGUGACGAAGCGUGAGUGACGGUAAUGGGGAAAGAAGCACCGGCUAACUACGU
rnacentral:rRNA from 1 species